CUGGCUGGAGGAAGCACCACAGCACAACACAGGUGCUUGCAGAAGGCCCAGUGGGCCCGAGUCAAGGGCGCAGGGGGGAGGACGUGUAUACAGGGCCUUGGUGGCUGUGCAAAGGGCUUUGGACUUUCUCCUAAUUGCUGUGGGAAGACUGUUACGCUACGCAGAGGCUCAAAUAGGCAGCAGAGUGGACUUGAACUCCCUACUUUACCCUUCUGGGCUUUUGCUUCUUCAUCUCACCAUCAGGGACAGCAACACCUGCUCAAGAGGGCAGUUAGGAUUGUCGGAGAUGACAAAUGUAAAGCACUCAGCACGGGAUGGGCCCAAGCCAGGUGCUACACAGGGCCCAACCUGGCCAGAGAGAUUCAGACACAUCCAGAGAGCUGCACCGUAUGGCACCCUUCUCUGAAGAAUCCAUUGGUCAUUAAGACUGCAAUGAGGUCUCCUUGAUAUCAUCCACCUUCAGGGUUCAGGCCUAUUCAGAUGUGAAAGAUGGGGGGAGGGGAAAGGGGUCUGAAAGAUGCAAUGAUGAAGGGCUGGGUGGCGGCCCCCACGGCAGGCAGAAUCUGUAAAGUGUCCACUCCCUACCCCCAGUAUCUCAUCCUAACCCCUGAAGCCUGUGAAUACGAUGAGACCACACACCUGUGAUUGUGUUAUAUGGCAACAUUGAUCUUAACGAGUACCCAGAUGGGCCUGAUCUAAUCACACGAGCC
rnacentral:lncRNA from 1 species